rnacentral:rRNA from 1 species
UACAGAGGUCUCAAGCGUUGUUCGGAAUCACUGGGCGUAAAGGGUGCGUAGGCUGCACGGUAAGUCAGGUGUGAAAGCCCGGACGCUCAACUCCGGAAUUGCACCCGAUACUGCCGUGCUUGAGGACUGGAGAGGAGUCUGGAAUUCACAGUGGAGCAGUGAAAUGCGUAGAUAUUGUGAGGAACACUAGUGGCGAAGGCGAGACUCUGGACAGUUCCUGACGCUGAGGCACGAAGGCCAGGGGAGCAAACGGG